GACGAACGCUGGCGGCGUGCUUAACACAUGCAAGUCGAACGGAAAGGCCCUGCUUUUGUGGGGUGCUCGAGUGGCGAACGGGUGAGUAACACGUGAGUAACCUGCCCUUGACUGUGGGAUAACUUCAGGAAACUGGGGCUAAUACCGGAUAGGAUCUCCUGCUGCAUGGUGGGGGUUGGAAAGUGUCGGCGGUUGGGGAUGGACUCGCGGCUUAUCAGCUUGUUGGUGGGGUAGUGGCUUACCAAGGCUUUGACGGGUAGCCGGCCUGGGAGGGUGACCGGCCACAUUGGGACUGAGAUACGGCCCAGACUCCUACGGGAGGCAGCAGUGGGGAAUAUUGCACAAUGGGCGGAAGCCUGAUGCAGCAACGCUGCGUGCGGGAUGACGGCCUUCGGGUUGUAAACCGCUUUCGCCUGUGACGAAGCGUGAGUGACGGUAAUGGGUAAAGAAGCACCGGCUAACUACGUG
rnacentral:rRNA from 1 species